AGGGACACCACACUCGGUGUCAGCCUCUGAGGCCAUGGAGCCACGCAGACCCAGCGCAGGAUUAGAAACAGACCUUCCCAGGAGGCAGAGAGCCAGGCCUCCUGGUUUACAGCGUGACAAGGCAGAACUCAGGAGGACGCAUCAAUCCUCCUCCACGUGAGCACCUGUGACUGUGACCACUGGUGAGGUGGACAUGCUUCUGUUUCCAUUUUAUAGAUGAGGAAACUGAGGCCGAGGGAGGGUCAACAGCCUGCCCUGGGCUGGCUGGUGAUGCAGCGAGUCCCGAGAUCCCCGCACUCAUGGGGCGUCGGAGGGUGGCGGCGGCCCUCGCAGUCCCUGGGAACCUGCACCUCCUCUGGGCGCUGUUCUCCUCUCUCUCCCAGGACCCUUGGGCCUGGCGUUUCUUCACCUGCAACCAUCCAGGAGCUGGACCUGCCCUAAGGCGUCAGUUUCCAGGGAAGCCUCUGGCCUGUGUGUGAGCCUCCCCACCUGCCCAGCCACGGCCUCCACAGGUGCCCCGCGCAGCCCCACCCCUCCUGGGGCAAAGCCUCUGCGAAGACUUUCUUCUCUGGCUCAUCCCUUUGAGGCAUAAAAACGAACCCCGGGCCUCACAGGUCCGGAAUGCGCCCCCCUCCACGAUGGGAGCUUCUUGGCCUUGGCUGUGCAGGGGCCGGAUCUGCUGAAUGAGCUCUGGCCAGGAAGAUGCAAUGAAUAAUUGUCACUUAAAAGGAUAAACAGAAAUUCCAUUUCCCUUUUAAAUACUUGAACAUUUCAAAACAUCUGGAGGACACGAUGCUUUUCCUUCCAAGCAUCUCCGUGGAGUUUUGUGGGUUACCGCAGAGGAUCGGCAGCAUUCCUCUCUCAGGAGAAACCAGCCUGAGCGUUGCAUAACGCAGGCAGACUGCACUCCUCACGUCGCCCGGGGCCACACGCACGUUUCCAAGAGACUUGCUGGAGAAUCUUCCCCGGAUCUUGACAAAGUUGGAUAUGGAAAGCACCUUGGUCCAUCCAAGGUCCACAGAGCGCCCCGGGCUAUGAAAAAUCGUCCUCCAACUGGGAGUCUGUCUGCCAGGAGUGAGGUGACACUGCACUUGGCCUCAGGAGCUGGAAACGCUGGUGAAUUCAGAUGCAGCCAAACCUUCUAACUUAGUCAACAGUUAUUAAUUAUUCUUGGUCUUAUUGGAGCAGGAACCACUACCAUGCAUCGGGUUGGCAAGGCUCACUCCCCACCGUAGGAUCCCUGUGUAGACGGGCGCUCCAUCAGAGUAGUUGGGUGUGUGGAGCAAGGGACUGGGCCGACCCUACCUUCCAAGCAUCCACGUGGCCUUCAGCAGAGCAGGAGGAGAUAGCCCAGGACUUGUACUUUGCAGUUGAAGUGCCAGACCUAAGAAAUGCAAACCUGAGGACGGAAAGGAGGGUGGAGAGAGGGUGGGGUGCCUGGAUUGGCCGUCCAGAGCAGCCCCAGCUGCAGCAAGUGGAACUUUGCCGGCUGCCCCACAGGCCUGGUGGCAGUGUCCCCAGCGAGCAGCCGUCCCACAUAUGAAGGUGCCCACACCCUUAGCCCCUUGCUAAGAGUUUCACUGACCAGAGCUCCCUGAGUCUGGGACUCCACUCAAGGGACUGCUGUCCCCGUUGGUGAAGAAGGCCUGUUGGGGCCAAUGUUUCCCUCCACAGGGAAGCGGAGCUAUAUUUUGUCAGACAGAACUUUGCAAGCCUGAAACAGCUGGUAGUGGCCCCAGAUCCGAGAUCUGACCUUGCUCCAGAACUGAAGGGCACAGAGAAGGCACAGCUAGAGAUGGCAGGUGCCCCUCAAAGCUCUCGGGAGAAGGUACAAAGCGGGACCUCCCAGCAACCUUGGCCUCUAGGCCUCAAAAGCCCUGAGAGGGCUGCAUGCAAGCAGACAAAGCUGGAGAAGGAUGUGGGAGGCAGGUGGCUAAGAAGACAGGCUGGAAGGGACGUGGAGGCAGGUGGCUAAGAAGACAGGCUGGAAAGGGACGUGGAGGCAGGUGGCUAAGAAGACAGGCUGGAAAGGGAUGUGGAGGUAGGUGGCUUUGCUCUAAACAGAAUCGUCUCAGUAAUGUGACACUGCACAUGUAUAGGUAGGGCUCACUCAUAGGCAUAACCCUCUAAAACACACUUUUAUGGAGUGAAAUUCACUUAGCCAUCUUAAAGCAUAUACUUCGGCGGCAUUUGCUGGAUUCACAACGUUGUGCAACCUCUGCUUCUCUAGUUUCAGAACAUUUUUGUCCCUCCAGAACAAUACCUCAUCCCCAUUAAGUAAUCACUCCUCAUUCCUUCCCCAUCCUCUGGAAACCACAGGUCUGCUUUCUGUCUCUAUGGAUUUGUCCAUUUUUGAUAUUUCAUAUAAAAGGAAUCACGCAGUGUGCAAA
rnacentral:lncRNA from 1 species